CUGGAGAUCGAGGACAUGUCGCAAGAAGCUGCCGUUUGGAUCCGGCACCUGCCGCCUCGUCUCUGGGCCACGGCCUACUUCGAGGGGACGAGGUACGGUCAUCUGACGGCGAGCAUCACGGAGUCGCUGAGCUCUUGGAUAUUGGACGCCGCUGGCCUCCCUGUGACCCAGAUGAUGGAGUGCAUCCGGCGCCAGCUGAUGACCUGGUUCAACGAGCGGCGUGAGGCGAGCAUGCAGUGGAGCACGAUCCUGGUGCCCGCCGCCGAGCGCCGCGUGCAGGAGGCCAUCGAGCGCGCGCGCGGGUACCAGGUGGCCCGGGCCAACGAGGCGGAGUUCGAGGUCGUCUCGGCUCACGAGGGGACGAACAUCGUGGACAUCCGCAACAGGUGCUGCCUGUGCCGCGGCUGGCAGCUCUACGGCGUGCCGUGCGCGCAUGGCGUGGCGGCGCUGCUCUCCUGCCGGCAGAACGUCCACCGCUACGCCGAGAGCUGCUUCACCGUGGCGACGUACCGCAAGACCUACUCGCAGACCAUACACCCGAUCCCGGACAAGACGCUGUGGAGUGAGACGGCAGAUCAAGAUCAAGGCCAGGAUGGCGAGGUCAAGGCGGAGAUGGUCAUCAAUCCACCCAAGUCGCUUAGGCCCCCCGGACGGCCGAGGAAGAAGAGGGUAAGAGCGGAGGACCGUGGGCGAGUCAAGCGCGUCGUCCACUGCAGCCGCUGCAACCAGACUGGACACUUCAGAACCACAUGUGCUGUUCCGAUAUGAACAAUGGCAUGAUCAUGGUGUUGGUGUAAAAUACCCCGCUGUAACCACGAACCAGAUUCCAGACUGGACAGUUCAAGACUGGACAGUUCAGGACUUCUAA
rnacentral:lncRNA from 1 species